rnacentral:rRNA from 1 species
UGGGGAAUCUUGCGCAAUGGGCGAAAGCCUGACGCAGCCAUGCCGCGUGAAUGAUGAAGGUCUUAGGAUUGUAAAGUUCUUUUCGCUCGUGACGAUGAUGACGGUAACGAGAGAAGAAGCCCCGGCUAACUUCGUGCCAGCAGCCGCGGUAAUACGAAGGGGGCUAGCGUUGUUCGGAAUUACUGGGCGUAAAGCGCGCGUAGGCGGCUUUGCAAGCCAGAGGUGAAAUGCCUGAGCUCAACUUAGGAAUUGCCUUUGGGACUGCGAGGCUUCGAGGACUGGAGAGGUGAGUGGAAUUCCCAGUGUAGAGGUGAAAUUCGUAGAUAUUGGGAAGAACACCAGUGGCGAAGGCGGCUCACUGGCCAGUUUCUGACGCUAAAGUGCGAAAGCGUGGGGAUCAAACAGGAUUAGAUACCCAAGUAGUCCCUGAGCGGGCUGGCAAGGCGCAU